GACAGAGGGGGCAAGCGUUUGCUCGGAAUUUAUUGGGCGUAAAAGAGCUCGUAGGCGGUUUUGUCGCGUCUGCCCGUGAAAAGUCCCGGGGGCUCAACUCCGGAUCUGCGGUGGGUACGGGGCAGACUAGAGUGAUGUAGGGGAGACUGGAAUUCCUGGUGUAGCGGUGAAAUGCGCCAGGAAGUAAUUCCAAGGGAAGGGAAACCGAACCCAAGGUUGGGCCG
rnacentral:rRNA from 1 species